UUCCCGUGCGAUCACCGAAGUUAAGGCAACGUCGAGCCUGUUCAGUACUUAGAUGGGUGACCGUUCCUGAAUACCAGGUGCUGUAAG